ACGGUGAUCCUCAGCUUGCUGGGGUGAUCAGUGGCGAACGGGUGAGUAACACGUGAGUAACCUGCCCCUGACUCUGGGAUAACUGCUGGAAACGGUGGCUAAUACCGGAUAUGACACGGCCGCGCAUGUGGUGGUGUGGAAAGUUUUUCGGUCAGGGAUGGGCUCGCGGCCUAUCAGCUUGUUGGUGGGGUGAUGGCCUACCAAGGCGACGACGGGUAGCCGGCCUGAGAGGGCGACCGGCCACACUGGGACUGAGACACGGCCCAGACUCCUACGGGAGGCAGCAGUGGGGAAUAUUGCACAAUGGGCGAAAGCCUGAUGCAGCGACGCCGCGUGAGGGAUGACGGCCUUCGGGUUGUAAACCUCUUUCAGCAGGGAAGAAGCGAGAGUGACGGUACCUGCAGAAGAAGCGCCGGCUAACUACGUGCCAGCAGCCGCGGUAAUACGUAGGGCGCAAGCGUUGUCCGGAAUUAUUGGGCGUAAAGAGCUCGUAGGCGGUGUGUCGCGUCUGCUGUGAAAACYUUAGGCUCAACCUGGGGCUUGCAGUGGGUACGGGCACACUAGAGUGCGGUAGGGGUGACUGGAAUUCCUGGUGUAGCGGUGGAAUGCGCAGAUAUCAGGAGGAACACCGAUGGCGAAGGCAGGUCACUGGGCCGCAACUGACGCUGAGGAGCGAAAGCAUGGGGAGCGAACAGGAUUAGAUACCCUGGUAGUCCAUGCCGUAAACGUUGGGCACUAGGUGUGGGGUCCAUUCCACGGGUUCCGUGCCGCAGCAAACGCAUUAAGUGCCCCGCCUGGGGAGUACGGCCGCAAGGCUAAAACUCAAAGAAAUUGACGGGGGCCCGCACAAGCGGCGGAGCAUGCGGAUUAAUUCGAUGCAACGCGAAGAACCCUUACCAAGGCUUGACAUGCACCGGAAACCCUCAGAGAUGGGGGCCCCGCAAGGCUGGUGCACAGGUGGUGCAUGGUUGUCGUCAGCUCGUGUCGUGAGAUGUUGGGUUAAGUCCCGCAACGAGCGCAACCCUCGUCCCAUGUUGCCAGCGGGUCGUGCCGGGGACUCAUGGGAGACUGCCGGGGUCAACUCGGAGGAAGGUGGGGAUGACGUCAAAUCAUCAUGCCCCUUAUGUCUUGGGCUUCACGCAUGCUACAAUGGCCGGUACAAAGGGCUGCGAUACCGCGAGGUGGAGCGAAUCCCAAAAAGCCGGUCUCAGUUCGGAUUGGGGUCUGCAACUCGACCCCAUGAAGUCGGAGUCGCUAGUAAUCGCAGAUCAGCAACGCUGCGGUGAAUACGUUCCCGGGCCUUGUACACACCGCCCGUCAAGUCACGAAAGUCGGUAACACCCGAAGCCGGUGGCCCAAC
rnacentral:rRNA from 1 species